CCCUUAGAUGUUCUGGGCCGCACGCGUGCUACACUGAGUGGAUCAGCGGGUCAGGUUGCGCGAAAGUGUUUCCUAAUCUUGAAAUCCGCUCGUGAUGGGGAUUGACGGUUGCAAUUUUCCGUCAUGAACGAGGAAUACCUUGUAAGCGCGGGUCAUCAUCCCGCGCUGAAUACGUCCCUGCCCUUUGUACACACCGCCCGCCGCUCCUACCGAUUGAGUGGUCCGGUGAGGCUUUGGGAUCUGAGCGGAAAGAGCGUUUCGCUGUUUCUGCCCGGAAAACUCAGUCGAACCUUAUCAUUUAGAGGAAGGAGAAGUCGUAACA
rnacentral:rRNA from 1 species